AGGAGCUGUGGGUUCGGCUGACUUGACAAUGGGCCCGGGAAAUCCCAGUAUGGCUAUUAAUAUGCCCUCCUAUAAUUUGUAACAUUAACAUUGCUGAAGGUACAGAAAAGGACAUUGAAAUGAAGAUGUCAAAACUGCUGACUUAGUUUGCUUCCAAAGUGAAUCUCAGACUUCAGUAGCCAAAAAUAAACUGGUUCUUGGCUGAAACAUUUAAAAGGUCUUCUUUCAGCCCCUGUCAAGCAGGCCUAUUAGGAAGUGAGUAAAUUUAAUAAACACACAACUGCAGUAAGUAUGCAUCACCUAAUUUGCAUGUCUGU
rnacentral:lncRNA from 1 species